AACACAGACCAUGGGGGCCAGGAUGAGACCAUGGCAGGAGUGGAGCCAGGAGGAGCCUGGGUUCCUGGGCACCGUGGGGCAGAGCCAUCAUACCUGUGCAGACUACUGUCUCUGGACUGCUCCAUAAGCUGUAAGAGUCCUUCCUGGUUUGCAAUGGAGGUUGGCAAGCUUCCUGUUAAGUGUCAGUUAGUGAGUAUUUCCUGCUUCCUUGACCUCGCUGUUUCUUUCAAAACUGUUAAGUUCUGCCACUUCAGCACUAAAGCAGUCCUGAACAAUACACAACAAGUGGGUGUGUCUGCUCUAAUAAAACUUUAUUUACAAAACA